rnacentral:lncRNA from 1 species
AUGGGAUCCAGGAGUGAUUAAUUCAAUGUCUUCAUUGUAUAGUUAGAUAAAAUAAUGUGUCUGUGAAUGCUUGGGUGGGGAAUGAAGCUCAAGAACAGAUGUUACCACCUUCAAAGGGAUCCUUCCAAAUGCAAAGCUUUACCUGCUGUACAGUUCUCCCUGGAAUGUAAAACUGUGGACAAAUGAAGAUCAGAUCAUUCUGGGAUUGGCUGAAAGACGUUUCUGUUAGUACAAAUAUCUGGGCUAAAUACCAUGGGCUACCCAUGUCGAGGGCAGGUAUUAGAACACCAUUCCCAGGUCAAGAGAAAGGCUCCAUAGCAAAACAGUGCCAGCCAGCUUUCUACCAAUGACCUUGACCUCAGGAGCCUGAAUUAUCAAAAGAACAUGAUGCCAGCCAUGAAACACUGGUAUACUCAACAAUCUAGCAAGGACCACAUCUUUGCCGAAACAUACUCUAAUCAUAAAUGAAUGAGUCAAAGCUCUUCAGGGGUGUGAGUAUUGGCUCACCAAAAUCCCACAACCAGAAUUGUACCUUGGAGACUCAACCUGGUGAGGUCUGGACUUUUGUAAUAAGCUGAUCUGAAGAAUGUGAGUGGCAUUUCACCCAAAGCAACGAACCAAGAUGUGAAACAGCAAGAUACAGGCAACACAACAUGUAAUUAAGCAAAAACAAUGCAAAUAAACAUAAGUAAUGCAGACGAGGAAAGCAGAUAUCUACAGAAGCACAGAGUGAGAUAUCUACAGAAGCACUUACAACUGAGCCCUGGUCUACCUGCACUGAUUCUACUGUAGUCUAUCUGUAGCCUUUUACCUGUGAAGGGGAUAAAGGUCCUCCAUUUAAACUACUCUUCAAGUAGAGAUGCCAGUUCCCAGGUUUGGAAUAGCCAUGGCUACCCCUACUGCUGUCUCCAUGCUGUGUUUGGCAUGGGCGAGUGAUUGACACAGUUGC